GGUAUUUUCUCAAAAUGAGAACAAAAGGAAAGAAUAAUUAAUGCUUUGCAAUUGCACAAAAGUUUAUGUUUUCUUUAAAUUCAAUUGCCCUUUUUAUUGAAUCAUUUAGAUCUUUUUUUCGGAAGGGAAAUCUGAUUUUUUGUUUUGCUUUUCGAAUUCCUUUCUAUCGACUUAGAAUUCAGAUUAUACGGUGCCUCCAAGACCCCCGGCUUAAAGUUAAACGGACCGUAAAGCAUGUGUACUAGAUAAAAAAAUACACUAAUACAAGGGUUAACGUCAUAUUUGCGCGGAUCAUGAAGAGUUAAUAGUCACGUAAAAUUGAAUCUAAGAAUACUGACGUCCUUGCCGAAACAAAUUAUUAGGAAAAGACAUGAUUUUAUAGGAUUUUGUGAACAAAUCUAUUUUGACUUACAUUUAGUCUGUACAAAAGAGGAGUAUCCAAAAAAAAAAAUGGAAUUUGAAACAUGCAAAUGUACAAAGUAAAAAAAAAUCUGCAAUGAAACCAUAGACUGCCGUAAAAAGUAGCCUGUGAAUGUGUUGCAUCUCGCAGAAGUAACGAAGUUAAAAUUUUGUAUAAGUUUAUUGAAUAAUGCACAGUUAUACCCCAAUGGGGUAGAAGGCAUAGAUAAAUCAACAAAAUAAGUUUACAAGUUAUAAGUGUACAGGAAAUAUUUCGAGUGAACAAAUAUUAAAGUCUUUGUCAUUGUUUUCGACCCCAAAUAAUUCUGUUAAAUACACCAGGUGCGAUUUAACAAAGAGCCAUACAAGUUUAUCCAUGUGUGGAAAUUUUAAAUGUAUAUACAACAGAC
rnacentral:lncRNA from 1 species